UUAAGGCCUGGAGCAGUCUGAUGGAGCACGCCGCGUGAGUGAAGAAGGGUUUCGGCUCGUAAAGCUCUGUUGUUAAAGAAGAACGUGGGUGAGAGUAACUGUUCACCCAGUGACGGUAUUUAACCAGAAAGCCACGGCUAACUACGUGCCAGCAGCCGCGGUAAUACGUAGGUGGCAAGCGUUAUCCGGAUUUAUUGGGCGUAAAGCGAGCGCAGGCGGUCUUUUAAGUCUAAUGUGAAAGCCUUCGGCUCAACCGAAGAAGUGCAUUGGAAACUGGGAGACUUGAGUGCAGAAGAGGACAGUGGAACUCCAUGUGUAGCGGUGAAAUGCGUAGAUAUAUGGAAGAACACCAGUGGCGAAGGCGGCUGUCUGGUCUGUAACUGACGCUGAGGCUCGAAAGCAUGGGUAGCGAACAGGAUUAGAUACCCCCAGUAGUCCAA
rnacentral:rRNA from 1 species